rnacentral:rRNA from 1 species
AUUGAACGCUGGCGGCAGGCCUAACACAUGCAAGUCGAACGAGUGGCGGACGGGUGAGUAAUGUCUGGGAAACUGCCUGAUGGAGGGGGAUAACUACUGGAAACGGUAGCUAAUACCGCAUACCAUCGGAUGUGCCCAGAUGGGAUUAGCUAGUGGGUGGGGUAAAGGCUCACCUAGGCGACGAUCCCUCGCUGGUCUGAGAGGAUGACCAGCCACACUGGAACUGAGACACGGUCCAGACUCCUACGGGAGGCAGCAGUGGGGAAUAUUGCACAAUGGGGGCAAGCCUGAUGCAGCAAUGCCGCGUAGAUGAAGAAGGCCUUCGGGUUGUAAAUUACUUUCAGCGGGAAGGCGUUACCCGAAGAAAAAGCAACGGCUAACUCCGUGCCAGCAGCCGCGGUAAUUC